GAUGAACGCUGGCGGCGUGCCUAAUACAUGCAAGUCGAGCGAACAGACGAGGAGCUUGCUCCUCUGACGUUAGCGGCGGACGGGUGAGUAACACGUGGAUAACCUACCUAUAAGACUGGGAUAACUUCGGGAAACCGGAGCUAAUACCGGAUAAUAUAUUGAACCGCAUGGUUCAAUAGUGAAAGACGGUUUUGCUGUCACUUAUAGCUGGUCCCGCGCCGCCUUAGCUAGUUGGUAAGGUAACGGCUUACCAAGGCGACGAUGCGUAGCCGACCUGAGAGGGGGAUCGGCCACACUGAAACUGAGACACGGUCCAGACUCCAACGGGAGGCAGCGGGAGGAAAUCUGGCGCAAGGGGCGAAAGCCUGUCGAGGCAACGCGGCGGGAGUGAGGAAGGUCUUCGGUUCGUAAAACGCUGUUAUUAGGAAAGAACAAAUGUGUAAGUAACCAUGCACGUCUGGACGGAACCAAAGCAGAAAGCCCGGGCUAACUAGGG
rnacentral:rRNA from 1 species